rnacentral:rRNA from 1 species
UAACGGCCUACCAAGGCGAUGAUGGGUAGCUGGUCUGAGAGGACGAUCAGCCCAAAUUUUUACUGAGACACGGCCCAGACUCCUACGGGAGGCAGCUGUUAGGAAUUUUCCGCAAUGGGCGAAAGCCUGACGGAGCACCGCCUCGUGAGUGAUGAAGACCUUCGGGUUGUAAAGCUCUGUCGGAGGGGAAGAACCAAUGACGGUACCCUCCAAGAAAGCCCCGGCUAACUACGUGCCAGCAGCCGCGGUAAUACGUAGGGGGCGAGCGUUAUCCGGAUUUACUGGUCGUAAAGCGCGUUAAGGCGGCCGACAUAGUUGGUGGUGAAAUUUCACGGCUCAACUCUGAAACUGCCUCCAAUACUGGUCUGCUUGAGUGCGAGAGAGGAAGGUAGUAAUUCCCGGUGUAGUAAUGAAAAUG